rnacentral:lncRNA from 1 species
ACUGCUUUUGCACAAGUAUAAAGCAUCUCUUUCAAAUCCCCUCUAGAUACCAUCUCCACGUUUUUCUUCCACUUCUCUGCCUCUAAUAAGAAUGAAGCAGAUUCUUCUUGAACUUUGGUAUCAUACAUCUCUAGCAUCUCUACGUUAGGUCCUCGCAUAACAGAUUCCAGCUCACUCAUCUUAUGCCUUAGGUCAUCAUGAUCAUGAUAUAUCAAGUAAGAAUCCUCCUCCUCAGGUGAACCAUUGACAAAUUCAAGUGAAUGUUGCGGCCUUAACGUAGAACCUGGACUAUUGUUAGGUGAAAAACUGUGAGUAGAGGGAGAAUUUUGGUAAGGUAAACUGUUGUUGCUUGUUGAAGCAGAUUCAAGGGUGUUGUAUGGUUCUAGAGUUUGAUGAGAAGGAUAAAAUGUUUGGCAGCUGUUAUCAGAGGAAGAAUAAUUGUCUAG